rnacentral:rRNA from 1 species
GCACGGGUGAGUAAGGUAUAGUUAAUCUGCCCUACACAAGAGGACAACAGUUGGAAACGGCUGCUAAUACUCUAUACUCCUGCUUAACACAAGUUGAGUAGGGAAAGUUUUUCGGUGUAGGAUGAGACUAUAUAGUAUCAGCUAGUUGGUGAGGUAAUGGCUCACCAAGGCUAUGACGCUUAACUGGUCUGAGAGGAUGAUCAGUCACACUGGAACUGAGACACGGUCCAGACUCCUACGGGAGGCAGCAGUAGGGAAUAUUGCGCAAUGGGGGAAACCCUGACGCAGCAACGCCGCGUGGAGGAUGACACUUUUCGGAGCGUAAACUCCUUUUCUUAGGGAAGAAUUCUGACGGUACCUAAGGAAUAAGCACCGGCUAACUCCGUGCCAGCAGCCGCGGUAAUACGGAGGGUGCAAGCGUUACUCGGAAUCACUGGGCGUAAAGGGCGCGUAGGCGGAUUAUCAAGUCUCUUGUGAAAUCCAACGGCUUAACCGUUGAACUGCUUGGGAAACUGGUAAUCUAGAGUGGGGGAGAGGCAGAUGGAAUUGGUGGUGUAGGGGUAAAAUCCGUAGAUAUCACCAAGAAUACCCAUUGCGAAGGCGAUCUGCUGGAACUUAACUGACGCUAAGGCGCGAAAGCGUGGGGAGCAAACAGGAUUAGAUACCCUGGUAGUCCACGCCCUAAACGAUGUAUGCUAGUUGUUGGGGUGCUAGUCAUCUCAGUAAUGCAGCUAACGCAUUAAGCAUACCGCCUGGGGAGUACGGUCGCAAGAUUAAAACUCAAAGGAAUAGACGGGGACCCGCACAAGCGGUGGAGCAUGUGGUUUAAUUCGAAGAUACGCGAAGAACCUUACCUGGGCUUGAUAUCCUAAGAACCUUAUAGAGAUAUGAGGGUGCUAGCUUGCUAGAACUUAGAGACAGGUGCUGCACGGCUGUCGUCAGCUCGUGUCGUGAGAUGUUGGGUUAAGUCCCGCAACGAGCGCAACCCACGUAUUUAGUUGCUAACACUUCGGGUGAGCACUCUAAAUAGACUGCCUUCGUAAGGAGGAGGAAGGUGUGGACGACGUCAAGUCAUCAUGGCCCUUAUGCCCAGGGCGACACACGUGCUACAAUGGCAUAUACAAUGAGACGCAAUACCGCGAGGUGGAGCAAAUCUAUAAAAUAUGUCCCAGUUCGGAUUGUUCUCUGCAACUCGAGAGCAUGAAGCCGGAAUCGCUAGUAAUCGUAGAUCAGCCAUGCUACGGUGAAUACGUUCCCGGGUCUUGUACUCACCGCCCGUCACACCAUGGGAGUUGAUUUCACUCGAAGCCGG